rnacentral:rRNA from 1 species
UCCUACGGGAGGCAGCAGUGAGGAAUAUUGGUCAAUGGGCGCGAGCCUGAACCAGCCAAGUAGCGUGAAGGAUGACUGCCCUACGGAUUGUAAACUUCUUUUAUAAAGGAAUAAAGUGAGGCACGUGUGCCUUUUUGUAUGUACUUUAUGAAUAAGGAUCGGCUAACUCCGUGCCAGCAGCCGCGGUAAUACGUAGGAUCCGAGCGUUAUCCGGAUUUAUUGGGUUUAAAGGGAGCGUAGAUGGGUUGUUAAGUCAGUUGUGAAAGUUUGCGGCUCAACCGUAAAAUUGCAAUUGAUACUGGCGU